rnacentral:rRNA from 1 species
GUUGAACGCUGGCGGCAGGCUUAACACAUGCAAGUCGAGCGGGGGAAGGUAGCUUGCUACCGGACCUAGCGGCGGACGGGUGAGUAAUGCUUAGGAAUCUGCCUAUUAGUGGGGGACAACAUCUCGAAAGGGAUGCUAAUACCGCAUACGUCCUACGGGAGAAAGCAGGGGAUCUUCGGACCUUGCGCUAAUAGAUGAGCCUAAGUCGGAUUAGCUAGUUGGUGGGGUAAAGGCCUACCAAGGCGACGAUCUGUAGCGGGUCUGAGAGGAUGGUCCGCCACACUGGGACUGAGACACGGCCCAGACUCCUACGGGAGGCAGCAGUGGGGAAUAUUGGACAAUGGGGGGAACCCUGAUCCAGCCAUGCCGCGUGUGUGAAGAAGGCCUUAUGGUUGUAAAGCACUUUAAGCGAGGAGGAGGCUACUCUAGUUAAUACCUAGGGAUAGUGGACGUUACUCGCAGAAUAAGCACCGGCUAACUCUGUGCCAGCAGCCGCCGUAA